AAAAAAAACAGCAGAAGGAAUCUAUUUAUAACAACUAAAAUUUUGUAUUAUUCAUGUAGUUCAAUACAAAUGAAAGAGAAACCAUAAACAUAUUGAAGGGAACAACAUGAAACUCAAAACUUUCAACACCUGUGUCCAUUGAAACCUUGGUGUGUAUUUUUGGCACAGAAAAAUAAGCUUAAUUUGAUGCUGGAGGAACUAUGGAUAAUGAUUUGUGAUCCAAAACACCUCUUGACUAUCAAAAAAUUCUACAUCCCUUCAAAAUGAUGAUCCAUAUCUCUCCAACAAUUUGACAAACUGUCUCAUAAGCACCAUUCUCUGGCAUUUUGGAACAUCUUUAACCAUGGGCUAGGACCUUUUUUGUCCACAUUCCAGUUCAAGGGGUACCAUGGGAAUUGCCACAUCAAGAAGCAACGUUCUGGAUGAGGCAUCAUGGCAAGAUGCCUCCCAUCAGGAGAACAAAUUGCUGCUACUCCUAAGGGAGAGCCAUUCACAUUGAAAGGGUAAGCUUCUGUAGGAUUCCCAUCAUCAUCGCAGUAUCUAACUGGGGCCAAGUUUGAAUGAAUCACACGAUCAAGAACACCAUCAUCAGGGAAAUAUGCUCUUCCCUCGCCAUGGGCAGCCCACACCCCUAAUGUACUACCUUCCAUCCCUUUGAACAUUAUAGCAGGCGAAUCCUUUAUUGUCACACUUGUAAAGCGGCAUUCAAAUCGACCAGAUUCAUUGUGAAUGAACCUUGGUUGUGAUGGGUCACCUCCAGCACCAAGCACACCCCCAACCUGGGGGCCUGGGACCCAACCCAGUAGAGCCAUGAGCUGACAGCCAUUGCAAACACCAAGACUGAAAGUGUCAGGCCGCUUGUAGAACUCCUGAAAUUGAUUUAGAAGGGGUUGAUUGAAUCGUAUGGAAGCAGACCAACCUUUUGCAGAAUCAAGGACAUCAGCAUAACUAAAACCCCCCACAAACACAAUCCCAUGGAAUUCAUGAAGAGAGAUAGCUCCAUUCAAGAGGUCUGACAUUGUAACAUCCCAGGGUUCAAAACCAGCAGCAUAAAGUGCUGCAGCCAUCUCUCUGUCUCCAUUGCUGCCUUCCUCUCGAAUCACAGCCACUUUUGGUUUCAAAGUUGCAGUCAUAUAUUUCUCAUCAGUAAAGGAAGGAAUAAAAGAUAGCUUCCAGUAAGGUUCAUGCCUAGACUUCAAACCUUCGUUCUCCAUGUCCACACAAGAAGCCAGUCUUUGGAACUUUUCCAGAUGAAAACUAGUUUCUUCCCACACAUCUCUAAGGAGAGAAGUCUUCUCAUUCAAAUGAGUUACCGAAUCAACUUUCAGUUCUAUCACUGGUGAGGCAGUCACUUGUCCAAUAAUAUCAGCAGAAACUCCUACACUAGUGAGCUUUUGCAUUACAGUAUCCAAGUUCUUUGUGCUAAUCUCAACAACAAGACCAAGCUCUUCAGCAAAGAGUGUCUGGAAGAGACCAUUCCCUUGUGAAGUUAAGUCCAAAGCAAUACCACAAUUCCCAGCAAAUGCCAUCUCCAUGGCACAGACAAGUAGUCCACCAUCACUAAUAUCAUGUCCAGAAGAGAUGAGUUCAUCUGCAAUAAGAUCCUGGAUACACUCAAAAACUCUUUUGAGGUAAGGAACAUCCUCAAGAUCAGGACAGUCAUCCCCAACUUGGUCAAAAGCUUGAGCAAGAGCAGAGGCACCUAACCGCCGCUUUCCUUUUGCCAUAUCAAUGUGAAGCAACAAACCAUCAUCUCCCAAUUUCAAAUCUGGAGUAACUGUUUUUGUGAUGUCAGGACAAGUGACAUACACACUUAUAACAAGAUUACCCGGAGCCUUAACAACCUCACCAGCUGCAUGGGCUGCCAUUGACAGACUAUCCUUUCCCCCAUCAAUUGCAAUACCAAGUUCAAUCAUAGCUUCAGAUAGAGCUUUUGCAGCAUCAUACAUGUCUGCCCCCUCCCCAUCAAGCUUGGCAGCAUACAUCCAAUUCCCACUUGCUUUAACAUCAGAAAGAGAAGUAACCUUAGCCCAAACUAGAUUUGUGAGUGCUUCUCCAACAGCUAAUCUAGCCAUUGCCUUUGGAUUAACCAGACCUUUGAUUGGCUGCUCUCCAAUUGCACAUGCACCUCCAGUCAAGUCAGUGUAAGUCUGAGCAAUGACAGCAACAUCAGCAAGAGUAAUCUGCAAAGGACCAACAGUUUGCUGCUGUGCCACAAGACCUGUAACACAUCUAUCCACUUUUGUUGUCAAGAAGCGUUUUGAACACACAGAAGGAAGUCUUAAUACCCUCUUCAAAGCCUCCAUCACAGUGAUCCCUGGGGCAAUAUCAAGUGGCUCUCGUGCAUGAACCACGUGGUGAAACUCAAAGGUCUUCUGAGGCAUGUCCCCGAGUACUUGCUCCAGCUCAAGAUCCACAGCAGGAGGAGGAGUAGGGUGUCCACUUGAAUGGCACUUCUCAUUAGCUAAGCUAUCAACCAAAACAACCCUCACCAUGGAUCGUCCCAAUAACAGCCAUUGACACCCUUUCUCUUUCACAGAUUGAUUGUAAAAGAUCGCGGCUCUCAGGCUUUACCAAGAUUGCAUCUUGUUCCUGAUAUUCUGCGCCCCAUAUCUCCAAAACAGACAUCGUAUGAUCACCAACAACAAUUGCCCGGAUGUCAAUCACAGCGCCCUUUGGAUAUAUAAUCUCCUUGACAACAUUACAGUUACCACCUGCUCCCUGAUCAUGGAUGCUGAUAAUUGGAUUAUUCUCCCCCAUUUCAAUGCAGGCACGAACAACUCGAUAGAGUUUUUGAGCCAUCUCAGCAUCUCCACGUUGUACAGCAUUAAAAUCAAGCUCUGCAUCAUUCUGGCCACUCACCAUACUUGAUGCGGCCCCACCUCCCAUUCCAAUACGAUAUGCA
rnacentral:misc_RNA from 1 species